rnacentral:rRNA from 1 species
UAUAACCUAAAACAAGCCCAGAAUACUACGAACCUCGUUUAAAAUUCAAAGAACUUGGCGGUGUCUAAUCACAACAGGGGAACCUGUCCCUUAAUUCGAUAAUCCACGAAACUCGCACCUAUUCUAAAAGCCUGUGUACUGCCGUCGUCAGUCCACCUCUAAAAGAGUGCACAAAAAAUCAACAAUCCGACGUCAGGUCAAAGUGCAGCCAAUGAACAGGGGAAGAUGGGUUACAAUCUCUACAAAGAUACGGACUCCUUCACUCAGAAGGAUGAAGGCGGACUUGCCAGUAAUGUCAAUAACUACAUGAAACCGAAUCUAAGACAUGCACACAUCGCCGGUCGCUCU